GAUUUUUGCCUAGUGCUCUAAAUGUCAAAGUGAAAGUAUUUACUGAAGCAUAGGUAAAUUGAUGGGUGUAACUAUGACUCUUUUAAGGUAGCCAAAUGUCUCACCAUCUAAUUAAGGAUGUGAAUGAAUGGAU
rnacentral:ncRNA from 1 species